rnacentral:sRNA from 2 species
AUGUAUCACGCGUACACGCCGGCUCCUCCGCGCCGUCCGCACCUACCUGACGCUUGCUCGUUACGUUUGUGAGCC